rnacentral:rRNA from 1 species
UACGUAGGUGGCAAGCGUUGUCCGGAAUUAUUGGGCGUAAAGCGCUUGUAGGCGGCCUGUCAAGUCGCGUGUGAAAUCCCCUGGCUUAACCAGGGAAGUGCGCGCGAAACUGAAGGGCUUGAGUGCCGGAGAGGGUCGCGGAAUUCCCGGUGUAGAGGUGAAAUUCGUAGAUAUCGGGAGGAACACCAGUGGCGAAGGCGGCGACCUGGACGGACACUGACGCUGAGACGCGAAAGCGUGGGGAGCAAACAGG